AAUGAACGCUGGCGGCAGGCCUAACACAUGCAAGUCGAACGCCCCGCAAGGGGAGCGGCAGACGGGUGAGUAACGCGUGGGAAUCUACCGUGCCCUACGGAAUAACGCAUGGAAACGUGUGCUAAUACCGUAUACGCCCCACGGGGGAAAGAUUUAUCGGGGUAUGAUGAGCCCGAUUUGGAUUAGGUAGGUGGCGGGGUAAAGGCCUACCAAGGCAACGAUCCAUAGCUGGUCUGAGAGGAUGAUCAGCCACAUUGGGAAUGAGACACGGCCCAAACUCCUACGGGAGGCAGCGGUGGGGAAUAUUGGACAAUGGGCGCAAGCCUGAUCCAGCCAUGCCGCGUGAGUGAUGAAGGUCUUAGGAUUGUAAAGCUCUUUCACCGGUGAAGAUAAUGACGGUAACCGGAGAAGAAGCCCCGGCUAACUUCGUGCCAGCCGCCGCGGUAAGAC
rnacentral:rRNA from 1 species